AAAAACCCACAAACUGAAAUGUCUCAGACAUCCGCUCUCCUCUCAGGGAAAAACGACCUCUCGCGCUACAUUCUGAAACAGAGAUUCUGUGUUACUAGCAAGCGGCGCAUGAGCCCAGGAAGAGCUGGAGAGAGAGGCAAGCUUGAGUGACAGCCCAACGCCUGUCCCCCGUACCGAGACCCAGUGUGCAAUACCUUGCUCUUCUAGGAUCCCGUUAGGCAUCUUCUUGUCGUUGCUGCUGACCACGGCCUUCCUCUGCUUCCUGAACCUUAGAGGCACAAGAUGUGUUAGGUCUCAGCACCGCGGGAACCCCCAAGCCCUGAGUGUGGUGAUACCCACCAGGUGAGCCGGGAAAAGUUCUUUCUGCUGCUCAUGGCUGAGCUGUGUGCGGCUCAGGCCUGGCCAGCCGGUGUCUGAGCUGUUUGGGCCCACACCCCCAGCCUCCAGCACACUCAUUUCCUCAUAGGAGCUGGUUAGAGCACGUCAGUGCCUGGGGACACUCCUACCUGAAGAAGUAGGCUGCAAGGAGGAACAGGAGGAGGAGCAGAGGCAGCAGCAACCAGGACCUCAAGUUCCCGUUCUUGGAGCUCCCACGGGAUGAAGUGAAGCUGUGGACCGGCUUCCUUCACAGAGUAUCCUCACUGGCACACCAGAAGAGCUACUGAACAUCUUCCCCAGUGGUCCAAGGUGCUUGGGAGGUGGCAGUUUGUGAGGUAGCAGGGUCAGCUGGGCCUUACCUGCAGUUGUGCUGGUCCAAUUGCUCUCUGUUGGGGUGGUGUCGUUGCCCUGGCCAGCUCUGGCGAGUGACAAGCUAAAACUUGCCAGCAGGAGUGGACAGAAGGGCUCCAUGGUGCACCUGCCAAGAGAAAAGGACAUGCUCAGAAUCUUCCUGAAGAGAAGGCCCUGUGACUAUCACUCUGUAGGGAGGAAGAAAUAGGAGAGAAGCUCAUUGUAGGUUUUCAGGAAACCAAGAACUUGGCCUGCUGACUUCAUGGUCUCUUUUGAUGUCUCCAUAUUAGAGUGGUACAGUCCUUGUCAUCUGCAGGUCCAGACUGAGGACCCAAGGCUCACAGCUCCUACAUUGCUGAGGGUGAAUCAGCAUGGAGUGGGAUCAGACCCCAGCUUUAUCCAUAUUGCCAGCCAAGAGGCAUCUGCAUGAGUCACCUGGCACCCCAGAUACCACAUCCCCCAAUACCAACUGUUCCUCUGCCCCCCCUUACACAGCCAAUCUCUGGCCAAAUUGUAUCUAUGUUGGCUGUGGUAUCUUGGGUAAGUAGAUGCCACUGCCUUCCUGUGUGUUUUUUGGGCCUCUCUCACUGGGCCAGCCAAAUCCAUUCCCUACAUACCUGGCUCAGGAGCUCCUGACCAAGCAGCCUUGAGGCCAGUGUCAGGGUCCUUCUCUACCCUCUUCCAUCCUGUGGUAAUAUGCUCUCCCAGCUCCCUUCCGUGGCCCUCUCCUGGCCUUGCCUCUGACUGUACUAACUCCCUACUCUACAGAGUCACCUACAGCCUCAGGAGAGAGCUAAGUAUUUACCGAGUUGAAGGGCUUCAGGGGACAGACCUAUUGGCCAGGGGUUCAGUACAGAGAAAGUUCUUUCAUACUAAGAACCCCACAGGUAAUAUAUCCUCAGAUUUUCUCUUGGCUACCCAUUUUGCCCAAUCACUUUCAACCAUUCUUAGACGUGACAGUGAUGGUGACUACUCUGUGGUAUAGAAAACCUUGCUUGAGGACUCUUGACCAAUGGAGGCAAGCAGUGGCACCUGCCCAGAGCAGAUAUAUGGUCCCUGUUCAUGGAACCUCAUCCACAGCCAGCCCAGGGGCUCUGUCCCAUCCCUACUGAGAAAAACUUUGCUACUCAAAGCCUCUAAGAAGGAUGUGAAUGGUCCCAGACCUCAGAACUGAGACCAGUAGAUAGAUGCCCAGCACUCACGCUGUUCCAACAGGGAGCACUGAUGUUUGUAAUUACUGAAGAGGUGGAAGGAGCAGAGAAAUCCCAGUGUGUCUCAGUAGGUAGCACUGCCAAGAUGAAUGGGAUCCAAAGUACAUGGUAACCACGACCUCACAGAACUUAGUCAGUGGCCACCAGCACGUACGGCCUCUCCUCUUUCUAGUUCCCAAAUGCGCAUUGUAGAUUUAUAAAGUGAACCAGACACAAA